rnacentral:rRNA from 1 species
GCCUAACACAUGCAAGUCGAACGGUAACAGGAAGAAGCUUGCUUCUUUGCUGACGAGUGGCGGACGGGUGAGUAAUGUCUGGGAAACUGCCUGAUGGAGGGGGAUAACUACUGGAAACGGUAGCUAAUACCGCAUAACGUCGCAAGACCAAAGAGGGGGACCUUCGGGCCUCUUGCCAUCGGAUGUGCCCAGAUGGGAUUAGCUAGUAGGUGGGGUAACGGCUCACCUAGGCGACGAUCCCUAGCUGGUCUGAGAGGAUGACCAGCCACACUGGAACUGAGACACGGUCCAGACUCCUACGGGAGGCAGCAGUGGGGAAUAUUGCACAAUGGGCGCAAGCCUGAUGCAGCCAUGCCGCGUGUAUGAAGAAGGCCUUCGGGUUGUAAAGUACUUUCAGCGGGGAGGAAGGGAGUAAAGUUAAUACCUUUGCUCAUUGACGUUACCCGCAGAAGAAGCACCGGCUAACUCCGUGCCAGCAGCCGCGGUAAUACGGAGGGUGCAAGCGUUAAUCGGAAUUACUGGGCGUAAAGCGCACGCAGGCGGUUUGUUAAGUCAGAUGUGAAAUCCCCGGGCUCAACCUGGGAACUGCAUCUGAUACUGGCAAGCUUGAGUCUCGUAGAGGGGGGUAGAAUUCCAGGUGUAGCGGUGAAAUGCGUAGAGAUCUGGAGGAAUACCGGUGGCGAAGGCGGCCCCCUGGACGAAGACUGACGCUCAGGUGCGAAAGCGUGGGGAGCAA